rnacentral:lncRNA from 1 species
UGUCAGGCCUCUCAGCCGAAGCUCAACCAUUGUAACCCCUGUGACUUGCACAUAUGCGUCCAGAUGGCCUGCGGGAGCCAAGAAGUCUGGGGCAGCCAAAAACCCACAAAAGAAGUAAAACAGCCACUUCCUGCCUUAACUGAUUAACAAACAUUCCACCAUUGUGACUGGUCCCUGCCCUACCUUAACUGAUCAACCAUCCUUGUGACAUUCUUCUUCUGGACAAUAAGUCUUAUGAUCUCCCCAUCAUGUACCUUGUGACCCCCUCCCCUGCUAACAAUAGAUAACAACCACCUUUUACUGUAAUUUUCCAUUACCUACCUAAAUCCUAUAAAGCAACCCCUUCCCCAUCUCCCUUCAUUGAUUCUCUUUUCGGACUCAGCCCACUUGCACCCAAGUGAAUAAACAGCCUUGUUGCUCACACAAAGCCUGUUGGUGGUCUCUUCACACGGAUGCAUUUGACAUUUGGUGCUAUGACUUGGAUCGGGGGACCUUCCUUGGGAGAUCAAUCCCCUGUCCUCCCGCUCUUUGCUCCGUGAGGAAGAUCUACCUACGACCUCGGGUCCUCAGACCAGCCCAAGGAACAUCUCACCAAUUUUAAAUCGGUGACCCACUGGAAAUCAGACCGCCCAGCUCACCCGGCAGCCACUUCCAGAGCCCAGCCCCUAAAGCUCUGGCCCAAGGGUCUCUGACUGACUCCUUACCAGACCUGCUCAGCUUAGUGGCUGAAGACUGACGCUGCCCAAUCACCUUGGAAGCCCCCUGGACCAUCAUGGAUGCCAAGCUUCGGGUAACUUUCACAGUGGAGGGGUCUUGCUUACUUCCCCAGUCUGGAAUACAGUGGUGUGAACACAGCUCACUUAGCCUCGACUUCCAGGAUUCAAGUGAUCCUCCCACCUCAGUCUCUUGAGUAGCUGGGACUACAGCGCAUGUCACCAGGCUUGGCUAAUUUUUUGAUUUUUUGUAGACAAAGGGUCUCACUAUGUUGCCCAGGCUGGUCUUGAACUCCUGGGCUCAAGUGAUCUGUCUGCCUCAGGCUCCCAAAGUGCUGGGAUUACAAGUGUGGGUCACUGUGCUCAGCUGAACUGCUUUAAGGCUAUAUUUGGACUUUGAAGUCAAAUGAAAAUGUAUAUGAAGCCAUGUGAAUAUAUGAAACAGAUCAAAGCUAUUUACUAUGGACAGAGCCCAGGGCCUCUGAGGCAACACUGAAGAACCUCCAGUGCUCUACAGAACAUUCUGGAAAUCCCUACACUAGAUGAGCUCUUCCCGUUCUGACAUCACAUCACUUUCAUAAUAACAACCAAAAAAGUAAAUUUGGUCAGGUUGAAAUCCAUCCAAAUUCAUCUUCUACUUUUUUUUUUUUUUGGCUUGGACAACAGCAAAGACGUGAGGAACUAUACUGGUCCUUUGUGUUAAUGCUUGUACUAGUAAAAUAUUUAGGUUUUAAUCAUGGCUGGUUUGGUGUGCUUCAUUCAUUCAUUCAACUGUGCUAAAAACUGGGGCUAUGAAGACAAGUGUGGUCUCAAACUGCUAGUCUCCUGGGGAAAAGAGGUAAACAAGCAUAACACAGUAUUACAGCAGUUAAUGGUAUCAGCAGACUCCUGGCACAGUGGGAGCAACUCAAUUCUGCAGGAGGAGGGAAGGUAGAGGGAUAGGAAAAGAUUCACAUAAAUAGCAAUGCUAUUGACCGAGCACUUAAAAUGCAUCAGGCAGUGUUCUUAAUCUUUUAUGUAAUCAUUUUAGAGAUGAGAACAUUCAGAUAAAAGAUGGUUAAAUAACCUGCCUACAGAUUUUAAAAAAAAUGAUGGAGGCAAGAUUUACAACCAGGACAUACGACUUUAAGGCCCUACUCUUAAUCACUACACCAUUCUGCCUUUAUAUUGACAGACAUGGUAGCAGUUAAGCUGAAUCUUGAAGAGGUUCAUAUAAUCAGAUGACAGGGUAGAAGUCAGCAGAGAGGAGAGGAAGCAGCAUGAAUGAAAGGGAACAGAGGUACAAGACAGCAUGGCACACGGGGAGUUUGAAGUUGUUAGGCCAGCUGGAACACAGGGUGGAGGAGAGUCUGUGGGCAGGAAAACAGGUUAGAGGCGCUACGCUUCCCUCCCCCUUUGGCAAGAUCCCCAUCUUUGUCUCUGCAAUAACAGACCAAAAAGAAGUCUUAGAAAAUGGAGUAGACGGAAGAGAUGGAAUAACUGGAUUCCAUCUCAGAAUGCCAUUGACCUUGGAGUCUCUCUGAUCUUAGGGGAUAAUGGGUAAAUAAAAUGUAUGAAUUCUGCCUGAGGGCUGAAAAAAAAUAGAAAUAAAAUAAAAUGUGUGAAAGUUCCUACUGUUGACUAGAUAAACGUUGGCUGAAUCUGAAUGUGUGGCAGAUAUUACACAAAUUGGGGUCCUGGAUAAAAAGCGUAUAUGAAGUACUCUUAAGGAAGGGAAAGGAUAAGAACCAGACUGCAAAAAUCACUUCAGUUCCUGCGCAUGAUGAAAGGUUUAAGUGGCUGCCUUAUAAAAACUGCAGUGCUUGCUGUUAGAAUAAAUGAGCUGCACGAGAUAUCCUUAAAUCAAUGUAAAGUAGCUGUGGUUUGUAGUUUCUGCUGCCUGGCCAAACCAGUACCUUAACUACUCCCCUUGGCUUUGUGAGUAUUGUCACUGUAUAAUUUCAAACAAAAAAAAUCUCGAACAAGGUGUACAGAAUGGGGACAGUACACCAUCUGCCUGUGUACACGC